rnacentral:misc_RNA from 1 species
AAGUCGUAACAAGGUUUCCGUAGGUGAACCUGCGGAAGGAUCAUUACAGAGUUCUUGCCCUCACGGGUAGAUCUCCCACCCUUGAUAUCUAUUCUCUUGUUGCUUUGGCGGGACGCUUCUUGCCACGGGCUCCGGCCCGUGAGUGCCCGCCAGAGACCCAACCAACUCUUGUUUAUGUGUCGUCUGAGUACUAUAUAAUAGUUAAAACUUUCAACAACGGAUCUCUUGGUUCUG